CAGUCGAGCGAAUGACGAAGAAGCUUGCUUCUUCUGAUUUAGCGGCGGACGGGUGAGUAACACGUGGGCAACCUGCCCUGUAGAUUGGGAUAACUCCGGGAAACCGGGGCUAAUACCGAAUAAUCCAUUCCCUCACAUGUGGGAAUGUUAAAAGACGGUCUCGGCUGUCACUACCGGAUGGGCCCGCGGCGCAUUAACUAAUUGGUGAGGUAACGGCUCACCAAGGGGACCAUGCGUAAGCGACCUGAAAGGGUGAUCGGCCACACUGGGACUGAAACACGGGCCAAACUCCUACGGGAGGGAGCAGUAGGGAAUCUUCCACAAUGGACGAAAGUCUGAUGGAACAACGCCCCGUGAGUGAAGAAGGGUUUCCGAUCCUAAAACUCUGUUGUGAGGGAAGAACAAGUACCAAAGUAACUGGUCGUACCUUGACGGUACCUCAUUAAAAAGCCACGGCUAACUACCUGCCAGCAGCCGCGGUAAUACCUAAGUGGCAAGCGUUGUCCGGAAUUAUUGGGCGUAAAGCGCGCGCAGGCGGUCCUUUAAGUCUGAUGUGAAAGCCCACGGCUCAACCGUGGAAGGUCAUUGGAAACUGGGGGACUUGAGUGCAG
rnacentral:rRNA from 1 species